UGGCGCCCAGCGUGGGGCCCGAGAAUGGGGGAUCCAGUGAAGAACGCUGCUCGGGGGCCCAAUAAAAUAGAAGAGACAAAUAAAAUAGAAAAAAGAGGAUUGCGUCUGACGUGAACCUGUCGUCUUUCCUGCACCUCGGUGAGUUGAGCAGCGAUUAUGGGACAGGAGAUUAGCCAACAUGAGUUGUUUGUAGAAGGUCUUAAAAAAAAACUUUACAGGCACGAGGGGUAAAGGUUACAGUCAAACAGUUGUUAAAAUAUUUUGAUUAUAUUAGAGAUCUCUGCCCUU
rfam:Heterocephalus glaber contig226902, whole genome shotgun sequence.